GAUGAACGCUAGCGGCAGGCCUAACACAUGCAAGUCGAGGGAGAAGCCCUUCGGGGCAGAAACCGGCGCACGGGUGCGUAACGCGUAUGCAACCUACCUUUCACAGGGGGAUAGCCCGAAGAAAUUUGGAUUAAUACCCCAUAAUAUUAUUGGGUGGCAUCAUUUGAUAAUUAAAAUUACGAUGGUGAAAGAUGGGCAUGCGUCCUAUUAGCUAGUUGGAGUGGUAACGGCACCCCAAGGCUACGAUAGGUAGGGGUCCUGAGAGGGAGAUCCCCCACACUGGUACUGAGACAGGGACCAGACUCCUACGGGAGGCAGCAGUGAGGAAUAUUGGUCAAUGGUCGGAAGACUGAACCAGCCAUGCCGCGUGCAGGAAGAAUGCCUUAUGGGUUGUAAACUGCUUUUAUAUGGGAAGAAUAAGGAGUACGUGUACUUGAG
rnacentral:rRNA from 1 species